AUUGAACGCUGGCGGCAUGCUUUACACAUGCAAGUCGAACGGCAGCGCGGGCUUCGGCCUGGCGGCGAGUGGCGAACGGGUGAGUAAUGCAUCGGAACGUGCCCAGUUGUGGGGGAUAGCCCAGCGAAAGCCGGAUUAAUACCGCAUACCACCUGAGGGUGAAAGCGGGGGGCCGAAAGGCCUCGCGCCAUUGGAGCGGCCGAUGUCGGAUUAGCUAGUUGGGGGGGUAAAGGCUUACCAAGGCGCCGAUCCGUCGCUGGUCUGAGAGGAAGACCAGGCACACUGGGACUGAGACAAGGCCCAAACUCCUACGGGAGGGAGGAGGUGGGAAUUUUGGACAAAGGGGGGAAACCUGAUCCAGGCAUGCCGGGGGCGGGAAGAAGGGCUUCGGGGUGGAAAACGCUUUUGUUCGGGAAGAAAUCCUCUGGGCUAAUACCCCGGGGGGAUGACGGUAACGGAAGAAUAAGCACCGGCUAACUACGGU
rnacentral:rRNA from 1 species